rnacentral:lncRNA from 1 species
UGGCAGCAUAUUUAUUGAAGAAAGAGGUAGAAAAAAUAAGACUCUAAGUCUUAUUUAGACUCUAAGUCCACAUUGUUUGAGGUAAUAAAUAACUUUAGACUCUAUGAUAAAGUCUGCAUUGUGAGUGCCCUAACAAUACUAAGGUUCACCAAAAGUCUAAAACCCAAAAGAACCAAAAGGGAAGAACCUGUUCUUUGUUAUUCUGAUUUUGUUCCUCCGACGGUUCCGAUACUCGAUAAUCAACGAGCACAACUCAAUAAGACACGAACAACACUUGUCCAAAAAAAAAAACAAGACACGUAAAUAGCGACCACAUAGUGGUCGGCUCGGCAUGCCGAGUUUGCCG